ensembl:lncRNA
CCUGAAUCCAAUGUUAUUUUAUUACCUAUCCUGAGCAAAUUUAUAAACGAGAAGAUUCCUCAGAAAAAGAAAACUAGACCCAGUGCUUAGUGCAGAGCUCAUCUGAGACUUUUCUGUUUUCUUAGGCACAUUAGCUGGGAUCACAAACCCAGAAGAAAGUUUAUGAAGUGCAGCGGUGCUCAGGCUUUUCCAUCGUCAACUCCUUGUAGAGCUCCAGUCUCUUAAGGUAAAGUUAUCACCCUAAGGAACCAAAUACAGCUCUGACUUGUCUCAGUCAGCAUUUCAGAUCUAUGAGUCCAAAAAAGGAAGAGUGAGAGAAGGAAAAAGAUGUUCAUUCCAGCAAAGAAAAAAAAGAACAGUUUCUUGCCAUAUUUCUCGAAGCUUUGAUUCAUCUUCCUGAGCCGUGAUCAUUAAUUCCUUCAAAAGCUCAAAGCCCUGUAAUUAGAGCACCUUAAAUUAUUCUGGCAUUUGGCCAAUUUAGAUUUGCGGUUCCAAUUUAUAGUCAUGACAUAGGGCCAAAAUAGGGCAAAUGCUUCCCUGCUUGAAGAUCUCAACAAGAUUGUGUGCAAUUAAAGGGAAUAUGACUUUCUAACAGAUACGUUAAUUAAUUACUGUAGUCUACAAUUUUCCUGACUGCUCCCACUGUUCUAAAAACCCUGUGCUGUGAUGUCAUGAUCGCUAAAACUUUCAACUCGAGAUACAUUUGCACUUCUCCGAAUGCUAUAUUUCUACUUGUCAGCUACCUAGAUAUUCUAAAUGAGUUAUAAAGGUUAAAGAUGGUUUCAUCUUUUUUUUUCUCCUUUAGGCUGGGAGAACAAGAAGUGAAAUAGGUAGAAUUAUGACCCCUUCAGUUAAUUUUUUUCCCUUUUUAACAGUGGUCUCUGAAGAUCUUCCAGUGCCUCUGACAAACUCUCAAAGAAGUGGGAUUUCAUGUCAAAAUAGUAACUGCUGAGAGCUGGAGUAUGUCAGUUCAACCCAAAUUCAGAGGGCACACAGCUGGAAAGAAAAUAGAAAUUCGUGACUAUGGAGUUAAUGCCCAACAGAUGUGGAGGUUACCAGUUAUUCCACUGAUCUUCCAGAGCAAGCGUGGAAAGAAUUUGAAACAACUCAAGCAAACAAGUACUCACUGUUUUAGUUUUUUUCUAAUUUGAAACAACUGAGUCUAUCUAGCACCAAGUAGAGAGAUUGCAUUUGUAUGAAUCACUGACAGAGUGAUUAAACCAGGUGGUUCUGAAUCCAUAGAUUUCCCAUUUUUGUGGUGUUCUCUUAUACUGUAUGCAUAUUUAGGCUUUAUCAUUUUGUUCACUAUAUUUUCUCUGUCAAGUUUUAGUGAGGCUUGGCUAUAUAGAUUGGAAUUCUUACACUGAGUAGAUUUUUAAAAUAUCUCAUUAGCUUUCCUUAUUUUAGUCAUAAUUGGUUGACAUGUUUGCUGAAUAAAGAGUUUACUGAAUUUCAUUUUUUUUUUACCCUAGUUCUGAAAACAGCUUAUGCAACUCUUAUGGCAUUGACAAGUUUAAUAUUUAUUGCUUGCCAUCCUACUGCCCAACAACACACCUUUAUUUUGGUUUUGCUUUUUAUAUCUGUGCUCUGAUCAUCAAAAUAUUUUUGAAACAAAAUUACUUAUACAGGCUACAUGACAUAACACAAAAUUUAAAAACCCACAACUAUUACCAGUAUCUAUCCCGUGAGUACACUGCCAUGAUAUUUAUUUUUAAAUGUCAUCUUUUAUUAUUGAGGUAUAAUAUCUGUGCAUAUUUGGGUGGGUACAUGUAAAAUAUCUGUAUAUAAUUUGGAAUGACCAGGAUAAUUGAGAUAUUCAUCACCUCAAACAUUUAACUUUUCUUUGUGUUGGGAACAUUAUAAGUAUUUUCUAGGAAUUUGGAAUUAUAUGGUAAUUUAUUGAAUGAUACAUUCAUAUUUUUAUCUUAUGCAAUAAAAUAGUGAUAUCCAGAAUAAAUUAUUUUUUCUUCCAUCUGGGUGUAUUUUUGCACUACUUAACCAAAUUCUCUCAAAUGACAUUUUAAGGUUGAUAAAACAAUUUGUUUUGAAGAAUCAGAGAUUUUUAAAAUAUACUUGUAUAGAUGAUUAAAUGAAAAAGGGACAAAGACAAAGAGAGAGGGCGGUAAGAAAUAGAAGAAAAAAGAGAGGAAUAAAUCAUUUGGGGCUAGGAUUAUCUCUUCCUUUGUGAGAACUGAAUAUAAAGAAAAGUGGAACAAAUUAUAGCCACAACUGCCA